AUCCAGAGCCUGAAAUAACGGCCGGCGGCCGGCGGUUUUCCGACCAAAUUCCGAUUUUUCCGACCAAAUGCUGAAAUGAUCGGAAAUUUUGUCCGGCCAAAUUUUGAGAAAAAGAAAAAUGUUUUCUUAAUGAUCGGGUCGGCGCUCAGCACAGUGAGUACCAUCUGUAAGUUUGGAUUAUCUAUAUUAGGCUAAUAUAAAGUAAUCAACUGGAAGGUAUAGUUUCACGGGCCCAAUAAACAAGAUGGCGGCUUACAGCGUGGUGUUUUCGGGUCAAGAUAAAAAACAGGGCGCUUAUAUAUAUGUAUAUAUAGGGGGGGGGGGGGGGACUUGGUCAAACUAAACUAAAAAAAAUUCCGGUCAAUUUUGCAAAUUUCCGGUCAAAU